rnacentral:lncRNA from 1 species
ACAUACUCUUAUAAGCUAAUUUUGAUAGUAUAAAUGUCAUCUGAAUAUGUUAAUAAUAUUUUAGUAUUCCUAGAUGGAGAAUUGUAACUUUUAAAAUCCUAUUUUCAGUUUAUUUAUAUUUUUAGGUCUACUUGAAAUAUUUGAUUUUUUUUUCUUAACGAUGCAAGUAAAUUGCAUAAAGAGGGUUUGAAAGAUCUGCAACCCAAGAAAUUAGUUCAGAAGCCCAACCACUCUAAACAAACCCACAAGACAAACACAACCCUCAACUGAACCAACCAAAAAUUCAACCCGAACCCAGAAAGCAACACAAUCAUAUCAGUCUAUAGGAACCUUAACCACCGCCUGUACGAAACAUCAGCUGCAGCUAUCAAAUUCAACACAGUGCUAAUCCAUAAUAUUCUCACUGCUGUUGACACCGAUGAACAAAACACAAACAAACCAACACAACAGUGAUAAUAGGGUCAGCAGAACUUGAAUCAUCAAACAUGCAUGUAGUAACAAUCACAGGAAUUCUCAGGAGCAAUACAUGGAGGCAACUCGACGAGGAAGGAGAUGCCGCAAAGUGUAGCCGAUCAUUGGCGAGAGAAAGCAGAAGUUAUCGAUACGUGUAUGGUUUCAAAGAUGUCAAUAUCGAUACCAAAGGAGUCCUUUCCGUCAGCAAAUAUAUACUAGUCAACUCUUGCUAGGUCUCAAAGCAAAUUUCUCUCGCUGAACUCGAUAAUGAUUUAGAGAACGAAAAUAAGAAAAGCAAAAAAUAAAAAAUUAUCAAAACACACAACACCGUCUUACCACGGCGAGGGAUGACUAUGGAGGACAGAAACCACAAUCUGUUCCUGGACAAGAAAAACAAGAACAAAACUUUAAAAAAAAUCAAGAAAAACUAAGAAAAGCGAGAUUAGCAGAAACCCGAACCCUCCCUAAUAUGCCAACGAAGAGUCAAACUGCCAAAUUGCAAUUACCCUUCUCCUUUUCUCUAUGCACUCUUACCUUCUCUCUUUUUUACUUAUCAUUAUGCAUCUAAUUCUACUUGAGUCUAUCAGCGAGAAGUGUGUUCAUUCUUAUUUAGAAAAUCAAAUUCCCAUUGAUUAUGUACACGUGCUUUUGAAACUUUGACUUAUUUAAGCUACUCGGUAAUGUUACC